AUUCCGUUCUGCGAACGAGACGAGAGAUGAGCGGCCUUUAGUUCGUUGCGUAUAUGGUUGUCUCUUUCUCACUAAUGGGUGUGUAAAGUGGUACGCGCCGCAUUUGUGUGACUGUCAUUUGCCGUGUGAUUUAGCAAAGUGAAGACGUGCGCGUAACACAAAGUUAAAAAACUUUUGUAGUGAACUGGACAUUCGUGCCACCCUUCCGUACCUCGAGGCCUCUUUGCUUUUCGCUAGACCAGACAGCUAAGGGAAUAAUAUCAUAACCCAUAACAUGGAACAUAAACUUAAAUAAAAAAUAAUAUGUUUGUAUAUAUAUAACUGUAUUACAAAAUAUAAUGAAAAAAAAUA